rnacentral:tRNA from 1 species
GGAGAGUUGGCCGAGUUGGCUGAAGGCGCACGAUUGGAAAUCGUGUAAACGUUAAUAGCGUUUCGAGAGUUCGAAUCUCUUGCUCUCCGCCA